rnacentral:rRNA from 1 species
GAUGAACGCUGGCGGCGUGCUUAACACAUGCAAGUCGAACGAUGAAGCCCAGCUUGCUGGGUGGAUUAGUGGCGAACGGGUGAGUAACACGUGAGUAACCUGCCCUUAACUCUGGGAUAAGCCUGGGAAACUGGGUCUACUACCGGAUAGGAGCGUCCACCGCAUGGUGGGUGUUGGAAAGAUUUAUCGGUUUUGGAUGGACUCGCGGCCUAUCAGCUUGUUGGUGAGGUAAUGGCUCACCAAGGCGACGACGGGUAGCCGGCCGGAGAGGGUGACCGGCCACACUGGGACUGAGACACGGCCCAGACUCCUACGGGAGGCAGCAGUGGGGAAUAUUGCACAAUGGGCGCAAGCCUGAUGCAGCGACGCCGCGUGAGGGAUGACGGCCUUCGGGUUGUAAACCUCUUUCAGUAGGGAAGAAGCGAAAGUGACGGUACCUGCAGAAGAAGCACCGGCUAACUACGUG